AAAGACUCCAGGGCUUCUGUAAUGGUCUAUAUUUAUUGUGGCUUUGUGCUAAGUUCUGUUGUAACAGCAGCCAUGUUCCAACCCUUUUCCAUGUAAGUAGAUAUGUUACAGAGCUUUCAUUUGAAAGCAAUAGCAGCAUACAUGUACUCUUUAUAUCUUAAAAAAAAUGAAAACAAUGGGAGUUGGAGAAAUGUUUCAGUGGUUAAGAGCAGCUGCUGUGCUUCCAGAGGACCCAGGUUCAGUUUCCAGCACCCACACGACAGCUCACAACUGUCUGUAACUCCAGUUCCAGGGGAUACUAUGGCCUCUUCCUGCAUCUUUGGGCACUGCAUAAAUGUGGUGUAAUACAUAUGCAAAAGCACAUACAUACAUAAAAUACAAUCUUUUUUUAAAAGAUUGAAGCAUAGAGCCUGUGAUUGAUUCACUAAGAAGGUAAUUAAAAUUAAAAACAACUUCCAAUCUUCAGUGAACCACUGUAUUCUGUCUGUGUUCAUAUUUAGAAUAUUUACUUUCUCAAUACAUUUUAUGCUUUCUUUGCUAAAUUUGAUUAUUUCAAAAAAAAAAAAAAAGGAAAGAGAAAGAGAGAAAGAUAAGAAGAAAACUCACUUUUAAAGGGAAAGCAUCCCCCUGGAACUUUCCCAUCAGCGUGGAGGUGCUGUGUUGAGAAGGUAAUUCAUGAAAAAUAAAUCUGCAGAAAGGUCCAUAUUGGAAAGUAAAACUUUCCUGAUCUGGUGUCAGACCCGAGUUUUAUUUGUUUCCACUGUGGCACAGACCUGUUUAGUGUGUGACAAUCCAAGACUUAGAAAGUUCAAGGUUUUGGAGACAGGAAUUGGGUAGAGGGGCAUUUAGAGGUGGGUCAGGCACUGGAAAGCCAGAUGUAACCUUUUUUUUUUAUUUUUUGAUAAUAGUUAAAUAGCAGAAAGUUCUAGGGAAGUUUACAGCAUUCCUAAUUUAGGAGUCUACACAUAAAUUCAUAGGAACAAGGCCACAUGGGGUCUGGGUGGGAAUUUCUGGUCCAUUUCUCUAACCUGGUCUCAUGUCACUACACUGGAAUUUUAUUUAGAAGCAAGCUUCAUAAAGACUCCAAAUUAGUCUGAACUCUGACUAUCCAGUCUCUUAAGAUUUAUAUUGUGUCCUUUUGGUUAAAUAAAAUAUUUAUUUGAACUCAAAUCAUUCUUUUUAUUUUCAUAAGGAUAUCCCAAGAGGUAAUUCUAGGAAUUUGAACCAAAAGAAAGAAAGUAAUUUAUUAGAUCUUUUUUAAAAAAAUAGUAAAAUGGCCUGUUUACUUAAGCAUUAUCUAAAGUAGUUUGUCCUAUUAUUUUUAAACACAGCUUGUUUUGUUAUUUUAAGUACACAGUUGGGUUUUGUUUUGUUUUCUCUCUAGUGAAAUGGCUCUCAUUUCCCAGAAACUGACCUUGGCAGGUUUUUAAUAGGGCAAAAUGUGACCAUGAUGGCUACACAGUCAGAGAGGUCAUGACUGGCUCAGGACUGUCCACUCAGUGAGUGCCUAACUGCAGGCAAGACCCUUUGCAUUUCAGAUGUAGUUUCUGGUCUGUAAGAUAUAUUGAUGAGCUGUGAUGAGGAUUAAAUGGAAGAAUAUUUAUAACAUAUUUGGCUGGUAAAGUGCUCACUAAAUGCCCCCAAACAAUAAGGCAAGGACAUUAGUCACUAAACAGAAUUUAUGAUAAGCCCCAGGUAGAGCCUGUGUGCGUGUGUGCAUGUAUGUGUGUGUAUACAGGCCGAUAAAAGAGUAGAUUAUCAGUGUCCUAUUGGACUAGACAAGGCAGGAGAGCAGAGCCUGGUCACCAAGCUUUCUCUAUUCGAUAGGCCUGUGGCACCAUAGUGUUCAGUGGUUAUUUCUGAAUGAAGGAGUUCUGCUUCUCAUACCUUGAACUCUCAACCACUCUUUAUGAAGAGACAAGUCCUAACUCAAUCUACCCAUUUAAAGAAACUAGCAAAUUUUUAAAAACUUAGGAUAUAAUUCAUCACUUACUUGGCUUCCAAAAUCUCUAGAGUUUCAGGUUUGAAUCUAAGUUUCACGUUCAGGAAUUCUUUUGAAAUAAAGCCAUCUUGGUGGUCCAGAGAAUAUGAUGGGGUGUUUCACAGAAAGAUACACACUCAGGCAAAAUAUCCUGCUUUACAGGUGAUUGGGGGAAGGAAUGUUUCCCUUGUUUCUCUAAAGCAGCUGCAUCAUUUGGCAAAGGGGUUAGGGAACUGGGAAGACCACACUGGAGGACUUCUACAGGGUUGUGAGACCUCAGCCUAUGCUCUGCUCAGUGGUGUUCUCUUCCCCCAUAGUCAUGCAUGCUCCUGUCAAUCAAAGAUGAGGGCGACCUUUCCAGACACCACAACAUCCUUAGGAAACUCCCCAAGCCCUCAGAGGAGGCCAGGUGAUGCCCACUGGGAACUACUGCCAUAGCUAGCGAUCACUUUCUCACUCUGGAAACUGAUUAACUAGCUGUGCUCAGUUUGUUAUUUUAAGGUCAAGCACAGAGAUCUUACGGUAAAUUCAUACCACUCAUAAUAGCCACACCAAACCCCUCCCCGUAACAUCAUCCACUUGUCUCUUUCAUCCAAAAUUGAUUUUAAAGUUUCAAAAAAAGAAAUAGUGUUGCCAAACAAAAUACAGAAUCCCCAGUUAAGCUUGGUGUGACUUAAAAAUGAUAAUUGUUAGUUUAUGUAUUUCCCAUUGCAGUAUUUUGGAUACACUAAGAAUUAGUCAUUGUGUCUCUGACAUUCCAAUCUAGUUGGAUAUCCCAUUUCUUGUUCUGUUGUUUAUUUGCUUGUUAAAUUUAACAACAUGGGCAAAAGUGGGUCAAGCCUGUCUGCUAAGGAAACCCUGCUGUAAACUAGCAUCUCAUUCAAACCUUGAAUUAAUUGUUAAUGUAAUUUUUCCCUCAUCAUUGUUAAAAGUGAAUUAUGGGCUAAGUUGAGGAAAUAGCUCAAUCAGUAAAGAACUCAUCUUACAAGCAUGGGACCUGAGUUCAAACCCCAGAGCUCACAUAAAAAGGCAUGCAUAGUAGCAUACACUUGUAACCCAGAGCUAGGAUGGUGGAGACAGGAGGCUCUCUGGGACUUGCUGACCAGCCAGUCUAACCUAACUAGUGACUCCCCAGGCCAGUGAGAAGCUGUGUCUCAAAAAACAUCAUAGAAAGUACAAGAUGAUGUCCUUUGUCUCUCAGACACAUGCCCACAAAUGCACAGUAUGAGUCUUGUGGCUUCCAGUCAAGGGCAAGUCAAGGUUCAACAUACUGUUUUUCAGAAGAGGCAUUCGCAGAGAAAUGUUGGAGGCUGGCUCAACACACUGACUUCUGACUGAGAAUGGACCGGCUUUCACCAUGUCUGGGGAAAGAAACAGUUCAGAAUCUCUGUGUAAGAGAAAGAACAUCCAUCUAGCACAGUCUCUGCUCUGCUUGUAGGAUCCAAAUUAGCUGUGUGUUUCUCAGAUGGUAACAUCUGACUCCCUUUGCCAGCCAAGCAUCACCAUUGUAAAGAAGCCGGUUGGAAGUCAGGCAGGUGUGAUCACUGUAGCCAAGAAAUGGGACUUCUGUUUUUAAGAUAAGAGUUUCAUAGUCCUUCAGCAAAUGGCUUUGUUUAAAUCUUUAAAAAUAAUUUCCAUUGAGUUUAUUCUUGGUUUCCAGAUUCCCACCCAGAGCAAAUAGUCAGGCUGGGUUACAGGAAGGCGUCCUGAGAAACGACAGCUGCUUUUGACUGUUGUAAUACAUUGAUUCAUUCAGCAAAUAUUUUUUGAGGUUGACAGUGUGCAAAAACAAGCUCAGCAAGUCUCAGAAAACAGAAAAAUAUGACUUGUUUCAUACCCUCAAAAAAUUAGGAUCCAACUUGGCAAAUGGCUUGGUUGUGAGUAUGCUUGCCCAACAUACAGGAAUCCCUGAGUUCUGCACCCAACACUGCAGAAACCACAUGGCAGUUGGUUCUGCCAUGCAGAAACCACAUGGCAGUGCACACUUGAAACCCCAAUACAUAGGAGGUGGAGGUAGAAGGCUCAGGAAUUCAAGGUCAUUCUCCAAGGUGAACUGAGGGCCAGACCGGAACAAGAGAUCUUGUCAAAAAAAAGGGGGGGGGGGUGUGAAAAAGGCAGGAAGGAAAGAAGAAAGAAAGGGAAGUAGUGAGGGAGAAAGGGAAAGAGAGAGAACAUAAAACUUGAACUAGCAAAAGGCAGUUAUCUAAAAGAGUGGAUACGAUUGCCAAUACAAGAGAAAAUACAGAUCAAGUAUCAUAAGGCAUAUC
rnacentral:lncRNA from 1 species